UACGUAGGGGGCUAGCGUUGUCCGGAAUUACUGGGCGUAAAGAGCUCGUAGGUGGUUUGUCGCGUUGUUCGUGAAAUCUCACGGCUUAACUGUGAGCGUGCGGGCGAUACGGGCAGACUGGAGUACUGCAGGGGAGACUGGAAUUCCUGGUGUAGCGGUGGAAUGCGCAGAUAUCAGGAGGAACACCGGUGGCGAAGGCGGGUCUCUGGGCCGAUACUGACGCUGAGGAGCGAAAGCGUGGGGAGCGAACAGG
rnacentral:rRNA from 1 species